AGUGAACGCUGGCGGUAGGCCUAACACAUGCAAGUCGAACGGCAGCACAGUAAGAGCUUGUUCUUACGGGUGGCGAGUGGCGGACGGGUGAGGAAUACAUCGGAAUCUACUUUUUCGUGGGGGAUAACGUAGGGAAACUUACGCUAAUACCGCAUACGACCUACGGGUGAAAGCAGGGGAUCUUCGGAUCUUGCGCGAUUGAAUGAGCCGAUGUCGGAUUAGCUAGUUGGCGGGGUAAAGGCCCACCAAGGCGACGAUCCGUAGCUGGUCUGAGAGGAUGAUCAGCCACACUGGAACUGAGACACGGUCCAGACUCCUACGGGAGGCAGCAGUGGGGAAUAUUGGACAAUGGGCGCAAGCCUGAUCCAGCCAUACCGCGUGGGUGAAGAAGGCCUUCGGGUUGUAAAGCCCUUUUGUUGGGGAAGAAAAGCAGCAGGUUAAUACCCCGCUGUUCUGACGGUACCCAAAGAAUAAGCACCGGCUAACUUCGUG
rnacentral:rRNA from 1 species